GGUUAAGCGACUAAGCGUACACGGUGGAUGCCCUGGCAGUCAGAGGCGAUGAAGGGCGUGCUAAUCUGCGAUAAGCGCCGGUAAGGUGAUAUGAACCGUUAUAACCGGCGAUACCCGAAUGGGGAAACCCAGUGUGAUUCGUCACACUAUCAUUAACUGAAUCCAUAGGUUAAUGAGGCGAACCGGGG
rnacentral:rRNA from 1 species